GUCUCUAUGUGUCCCUACGUGUCCCUGUGUGUCCCUAUGGCUCUCUAUGGCUCUCUAUGGGUCUCUACGGCUCUCUAUGGGUCUCAGUGUGUCCCAAUGGGUCUCAGUGUGUCCCUAUGUGUCCCUGUGUGUCCCUAUGGCUCUCUAUGGGUCUCUAUGGGUCCCUAUGGCUCUCUAUGGGUCUCAGUGUGUCCCAAUGGGUCUCAAUGUAUCCCUAUGGGUCUCAGUGUGUCCCAAUGGCUCUCAGUGUGUCCCAGUGGGUCUCCAUGUGUCCCUACGGCUCUCUAUGGGUCUCACUGUGUCCCAGUGGGUCUCCAUGUGUCCCUAUGGCUCUCUAUGGGUCUCAGUGUGUCGCAGUGGGUCUCAGUGUGUCCCUAUGGGUCUCAGUGUGUCCCUAUGGGUCUCAGUGUGUCCCUAUGGCUCUCUAUAUGUCUCGGUGUGUCCCAGUUGGUCUCAAUGUGUCCCAAUGGGUCUCAAU
ensembl:lncRNA